GUCCUUGUCGAUUAGUGGUUAAAUCAUCACGUUGUGGUGCUAUUGGCGCACGAUCCGUGAAGCCGGAGGCUCGAAUCCUCCCUGGGACA
rnacentral:tRNA from 1 species